rnacentral:lncRNA from 1 species
GAGUGGUACCUUGAUCCAAUUUGUGAGAAAUCCGGUGAAAAUCGUCAGAAAAAUAGAUAUGGCUGCACGGGUACACGGGUUGGGGAAAACCCGUUUCUUCCUUUAUUCCCCUGCUUCUCUCCUUUCUCCUUUCCCUCCUUUCUUGCUUUUUGGAUUGGUCUAGCCCCUCUCACUCAUCUCCCUAUUCGGCCUCUUCUUCUUCUUCUCCGAUUGGGCAGCUUUGCCCAAUCUCUCUUUUUCUCUUUUUCUCUUUUUCCUCUGUUUCCUGUCCUCCUGAUGCCUUCCUCUUUCUUUUCCCAUUUCUAAUUCUAAUAACAACUAAUAAAAUAAUAAUACUUAUAAAUAUAUAUAUAUAUAUAUAUAUAUAUUUAUAUUAACCAAAGUAAAAGUAUUUCUCAGGUUAGAGCUCCGUAAAAUUUUAACCGUAACUUCAAAUCACGAACCGUCUGCGCCCACGCUUAUGUAGCGACGAGUACUACGAGGAUAUGACAAGAAAAUAAAUCUUAGAUGGCACGACACAACGAUUAACCUCGAAUAAGAUGCGUGCCUCAAAGGGCAUUUUUGUAAAAUCCUUUAUUAAAACUUUAAAAACUCUUAAAAUCAGGGACCGGCUGUGAUAGUACAAAUAUCGACGAUAAUAUCGGAAAAUAUCGAUGUCGAUAAUUUCGCUCACACUUCAGCAAUAUUUUGUCAAAAUAUCGGUGUAAUAUCGCUAAAAUAUCGAAAAUAUCGAUGUAAAGGAAGAAAAAAAGGGAAAAAAGGGAUGGAAAAAAAACACAAAAGGGAUUUGAACCCCUUCUAUUUUACUCCUCCAACACCGUAACCACCAUAUAUCACUUAUGUUGUAGUGAUAAUAUGCUAAAAUAUUUAUGUUUAUAUGAGUGGCAUGUUAACAAUUACAUGCAAAACUAUUUUGGGGAUUUAUCAUUUCAUGAAUACUCUUCACAAUAAACUUACUCUACACAUAGAGAUGAUGAAGAUAAUGAAAAUUUGGAACCUCAUAGGAACUUUAUGUGGCACUAAAUCACUCAUGUAUCUUACCAUGCAAUGUAUAAAGUGUAAAAUAUUGUAGUAAAUCAUUAUAUAUAAAUGAUUAUGGUGUGUUUAAUCUUUUUUUCGUUAAUUACUACAUAUUUUCUAUAUUCACAGUGUUUGCCAGCUCGCUGUAUAAUCAACUUAAAUCAGUUAAAUCCAUGCAUUUUCUUCUAAUUUUGUUUGAUAAACUAAUAGAUAAUUGACAAAAUAAACAUUCUCCAAAGUUUCAAUAAAAAUUUCCAAGUUUUUCUUACAAUUUCCAUGGUUUUUAUCAAUUUUUAUCGAUAUCGAUAAUAUCCCGAUAUUUCUAUUGAAAUUUUCAUGUUUUUGAACAUAUUUAUGAUAUCAUUGAUAUUUUAUACCAUGAUCGAGGCCUAUCCUACAUUUUUGAUAUUUUCAAUCCAAGCCCAAUUCAUAGAUCUCUAGAUUUUAUUCUUCCGUUUUCAAUCCAAGCCUAUCCUUCUGAAAACAACCUCUGUUUGCUUUCCCCUUCCUUCCAACUUCUAACCAAAACCCAAAUCCGAACGCAUCACACAAACCCAAAAGCUUGACCUUCUAAUCAUUAAUAGCUCCAAUUUUUUUUCUUUUUUAUAUAUAUUUUGCAUUCAAUCAUUAAUAGUGAUCACAAACAAACCAGGAUUUGAUCAAGCCUCACGAUCUUCAAUCGAUCAAUCCUCAACCGUCUGAUUUGAUGACUCCGGCGUUGGCAUUCGCCGGCGUUACUGGAGACCAGAGCUCCGGUGCACCCCCAUCAGCAGCAACAAGCAAACCUCAAUAUCGGUCAGAUUUCUCGGCCCUUCUCGUUUGAUUAAACUGGGUUUUCGUUGCCAGAUCAGUCCGAGCAAUAUUAAAGUUUGUCAAGCACCAUGGACUCGUCAAAUUUCGGGGAUGUACCUUCGAAUUCGAAGGAGUUAAACUCCAGUUUUAGCUUCAAUACCCCGCCCGUUUCGCGGCAGGGGUCGGGGCUUUCGAGGCCAAGGCUUGUGAAGGUGAGGAGGGGCUCGGCCUUUCAGGUUAUGAAGCCGGCAGCCUCCCAGGAAACGGAGUUUUGUCCCGGAUUUAAUCCGUUUCGAACGUCUUGCAGAGUUGGAAUCCAGUCUCAUCCGGGGCGGAAGCCGGAACUUCAGCUUCUGGGACAUUUGGGACCACUAAGACUGGGAACGAGGCAAAAUUGUUUAGGGCGGAUAGGAUUGAUCCGACUGUGAAUUCGGGGAAAUGGGAUACUAGGGGAGGUUUGGGGAAAGGAGUGAUUGAUGAGAUGAGGAAUUUGAAAAUUGGGAGCGGCAAUGAGUUUUUGAAUACCAAAGUGGGUUUCACUUUUAAUGCAAGAAGGUUGAAUUCAGCUCCGGGAUUGGAUAAAGGUGGUUUCGUUUUUGGAAAUGGUAAUAAGAAGAAUUCUAGUAUUGAUGAAAGCAUUGUGUCAAAGCUUCCCAAGGAUGUGGGGAAAUUGAACAUUGAAGGUGCUGAGAAGCGUGAAUCUGUCGAGGCAGGUAAGGAUCAAAAGUUUAAUUUCAAUGCUAAUGAUAAGACCAAGUUUGGGUCGGGUAGUAUUGACAAUGUGGGUGGUUCUUUGGGCCCAAACGUGGAAUCAGAACUACCAAAUGAGUUGAAGAAGAGAUUGAACAUUAAAGAGACCGUGCAGCUGGAUCGAAGUACUGACUGGCCUUCUGCCGAUGAUGUGAAUAAGUUUGUCUUUGGAAAUAGUAAAACGAUAGUUAUUCAUUAGCCGGAACCUCAGAAAAUGUACUUCCAGAUAAGAUGAACAAUCUGAACAUAAAGGAUACUUUUGAUGGAAGAAAAGGUAUUCUUCUGUCAUUUAAUCUACUUAACAACAAUUUGGUAACUUGUUCAGUACCUACAGUUUCAAAUAAUCUUAUUCUUAUUGAUGUAGAUCUGGCUAUGGCUACAGAACGUCUGGAUAUAAAUGAAGUUGAUGCAACAAACAGGGAAGCAAAAGAGGGCAGUUUUGAGUACCGUCACAAUGGUAGUGUUGAUGCUGAAGGCACUCUUGAAGGAUCUAUGUCCCAGGUUGAAACUGAAAGCUUUAAGUCUACAGCUGAGGAGUUAGACUUUAAUGGUGAUAACUCUCAUACUUCGGCAGAAAUUGAAGCCAGUUCAGGCUCAUACUUGGAGAGCCAUGAUACUGAUGGAAGGAUACACAUUGCUUUCCCUUCAUGGUCAGACAAUAGAAGUGGGUCUAACUUCUCCUUUGCUGCCUCUUCUGCUGCUCAAAGUCAAGUAUCUGCAUCAAAACGCCUCCAGAAAAAGAAAAUUCUGGUAAAAGCGGGUCCAGAUACCAAUACUGUAGUUCCAAAUGUUAAGAUUCCAUAUGCAUCAUCUUCUUCACAGUUUUUGCCCUAUUCUGGCACUUCAGCACAUUUGUCACUGGGACAUUAUCAGAAAAUAGAGUCAUCUAACCCACAACGCAGACAUGGAGAUAAUUCUGGAGUGCGUAAGGAACAGGAGUUGAAGCAAGAGACUACUUCUUUCUCUGCUGAAGCAGCCGCAGCUCAGGAAGCAUUUGAAAAGUUGCGACUAAGGUCAGAACUUAUAAUAACUUUAGUCAUCUUUGUCUAUGUUUAAACUCAUUGUAUGACGUUCCUUUUAGUUAUAUUUGGGCCUCUGUGUGGAGUAAUAUACCUCUGAGCUAAAGAGUAGCUUCUUUUUGUUGAAUGUGAAACAUUUCCAGGGGAAACCAAGCUUACUCUAAUGGGGAUCUGUCUAAAGCUGAGGACUGCUAUACACAAUGAGUGAAUUGUGUUUCUAGAAAUGAGACAUCUAGAAGCUGUCUUAGGGUAUUAAUGCUAUGCUAUAGCAACUGUGCAGCAACACGUAUGACUCUUGGAAGAAUAAGAGAUGCACUUGGGGACUGUAUGAUGGCUGCUGCAAUUGAUCCCAACUUCCUUAAUGUGCAGGUUAGAGCUUCCAAGUAAGUAUCUCUUUACUAUUUGAUAAUUUUUCUUUGGAAUUUCCGUUAUGAACUUCUGCACUAAUGCAGCUUCAUUUUUCAUUCAUCUAAAUUUCGGACAUAAAAUCGGAUGAGUUAUGCAAACAUCUCAUGAGAUCUAGUGCGUUUUUACUGACAGUUCACUUUUGGAAUAACCCAACCACCUGAAAUUUAUAUAUAUUUGGGAAAAUUUAUAACAAGUCAAAUAAUGGACUUUACAAUAUUUAAACGACUCUUGCUAUAAUUCUUGGUUAAUUUUGAAUAUACUUGAUUGCUAGACUUUUGUAGUUGUCACUACAUUUGCAAUAUUGAGUAGUUGUUCUUGGAUUUGGAUUGUAUGGUUCUAAAUAAGAUAUUUUACUGGCACUCAAAUUUCCACUUUUCAUAAUUUGCAUCUGUUGUUCUGCUAGUUUUGUGAUUAGUCAUAUUUGAUUUCCUAUUGAAUGCGCCUUGUCGCUUUAAUAUUUGAGUUCGGGCAUAGAAGUUCUGCGUCACAAAUCCGUAAUUGCUUUUAUUUUCAUAUAAUAACAUAAGCUUCCCUCAUUGCAUCUCUUCUUAAAAUUGUUAAAGCUGUUAUCUUGCUCUUGGGGAAGUUGAAGGUGCUUCACAACAUUUUAGGAGGUGCCUGCAAUAGUAAAUGAUGUCUAUGUGGACCGAAAGAUUGCAGUAGAAGCCUCUGAUGGCUUACAAAACGCACAGGUAGUAUAAUUUAUUAAAAACUAGUCUUUACUGCUUUUUAUGGGAUUCGGCCAGUAGUCUUCAUUUAACAAAACACAUAAAUUCUUAAUUGUACGUUGUGUUCAUGAAUUUGGUUUCACCCAGUGUGUGUGGGAUAGAGAGAGGGAAGCUAGCCAAAUGUGGGAUUCCAUGGCUAGUUGUAUUCGAAAAGUAGCAAAAGAGGUAUUAGGAGAGUCCAAAGGUUUUGCCCCACACCAAAAGGAAUCUUGGUGGUGGAAUGAGGAGGUACAAACAAAGGUGAAGGCUAAGAAGGAAUGUUGUAAAGCCUUAUACAAGGAUAGGACCGAUGAAAAUGGUGAAAGGUAUAGAAAAGCGAAGCAAGAAGCGAAGAAAGCUGUGAGAGAAGCUAAGUUAGCGGCUUAUGACGAUAUGUAUAAGCGACUAGAUACCAAAGAAGGAGAGUUGGAUAUCUAUAAAUUAGCUAGAGCAAGGGAAAAGAAGACAAAGGACCUAAACCAAGUGAGGUGCAUCAAGGAUGAGGAUGGAAAGGUUCUUGCUACAGAGAACGCGGUUAAAGACAGAUGGAAAGGUUAUUUUCAUAAUCUUUUCAAUGAAGGACAUGAAAGGAGUGCUUCUUUAGGGGAGUUGAGUAACUCAGAAGAGUGUAGAAACUACUCUUUUUAUCGUAGAAUCCGGAAGGAAGAAGUGGUUGUAGCUUUGAAGAAGAUGAAGCAUAGAAAAGCAGUAGGCCCAGACGAUAUACCAAUCGAAGUGUGGAAAGUUUUGGGAGAGACAGGUAUAACAUGGCUCACUGACCUUUUCAAUAGGAUUUUGAAAACGAAGAAGAUGCCAAAUGAGUGGCGAACGAGCACUUUGGUGCCUAUCUACAAGAAUAAGGGUGACGUACAAAAUUGCAUGAACUAUAGGGGUAUUAAGCUAAUGAGUCAUACAAUGAAGCUCUGGGAGAGAGUCAUUGAGCAUAGAUUGAGGCAAGAGACACGGGUUUCGGACAACCAAUUCGGGUUCAUGCCAGGGCGCUCAACCAUGGAGGCAAUCUAUCUCUUACGAAGAUUGAUGGAAAGAUAUAGAGAUGGGAAAAAGGAUUUACACACAUGGUCUUUAUAGAUUUGGAAAAAGCGUAUGAUAGGGUCCCAAGAGACAUUCUUUGGAGGAUUUUAGAGAAGAAAGGAGUACGAGUAGCAUAUAUCCAAGCUAUAAAGGAUAUGUAUGAAGGAGCAAAGACUGCCGUAAGAACUCAUGAAGGACAAAACCGAAAGCUUUCCCAUAACUGUAGGAUUACAUCAAGGCUCAUCCUUAAGUCCUUACCUUUUUGCGUUGGUAAUGGAUGAGUUAACAGGACAUAUUCAAGAUGAUAUUCCUUGGUGUAUGCUUUUCGCAGACGAUAUAGUGUUGAUAGAUGAAACUCAGGAAGGGGUAAAUGCAAAGCUUAACCUUUGGAGAGAAGUGUUGGAAUCUAAAGGUCUUCGCCUAAGCCGAUCAAAGACAGAAUAAUAUGGAGUGCAAGUUCAGUGCAAAUGGAGGCCAAAACGAGUUAGGGGUGAGGAUCGGAGAUCAAGAAAAUACCAAAGAGCGACCGUUUUCGUUUACCUAGGAUCUAUCUUGCAAAAGAACGGAGAAUUAGAUGGAGAUCUCAACCAUAGAAUACAAGCUGGAUGGAUGAAGUGGAAGAGUGCAUCCGGCGUGUUGUGUGACCGCCGUAUGCCACUGAAGCUCAAGGGAAAAAUUUUAUAGGACGGCAAUAAGGCCAGCGAUGCUGUAUGGCACAGAAUGUUGGGCGGUGAAGCAUCAACACAUACACAAAAUGGGUGUAGCGGAGAUGAGGAUGCUUCGUUGGAUGUGUGGGCACACGAGAAAGGAUAAGAUUAAGAAUGAGGAUAUCCGGGGUAAAGUAGGAGUAGCCGAAAUUGAAGGCAAGAUGAGAGAAAAUCGGUUACGGUGGUUAGGACAUGUGCAACGAAGGCCUACUGACGCUCCGAUUAGAAGAUGCGACUAUGGGACAGAGGUUCAGGGCCGAAGGGGUAGAGGAAGACCUAGGAAAAAACUUUGGAAGAGACUCUAAGAAAAGACUUAGAGUACUUGGAUCUAACGAAGGACAUGACACAGGACCGAGCACAAUGGCGUUCUAAGAUUCAUAUAGCCGAUCCCACUCAGUGACUUGGAUUUUCCAAGUCUCCAAUCGAGAAGUUUUCCUCACUCGGGAAAUUAAGGGAACACUACCCCAACCCUACAUGCUCCACUCAGAAAGCUUCAACAUACAAGCUUCAACAAAAGAAAAUUCAAAGAACUUAGCGAAGAAGGUUUUGGUGUAUUUAACACAAUACGUUGAAAUGAAGGAAAACUUAUUUAUUGAUAUCCCCGAUAAGCUACAAAUGUGUACAUAUACAUGAGUCAAAAUAAACAAACAAGAGGGAGCCUUCACAAGGGUUGCUUAGGAGAAGUCUCAGCAGUCGGUAGAGAGCCCAGAAAGAGAAGGCACCGGAGGGGGGAUCAUUCGGAACCUCAGUACUGGACAGAACCCUAGAAGGAGGAGGCAUCAGAGGUUGAUUAUUUGGAGCUUCAUUACGCGGUACAGCCCCAGAAGACGAAGGCAAUAAAUGCCUUUGGAACAAACCCACAAAUCUCUGAUGAUCAAGUAAAACCUGACCAUCAGUUUCCUUCAUCUGGUCAAGCUUCCUUCUUUCAUGUUUGUAGCAUAGUCAUGUGCGAGCCGGUGCAACUGUUUAUUCUCAUGCUUGAGCCCUCUAAUCUCCUGUUUGAGACUCAUCACCUCAGCCGCCAAUGAUUCAACUUGGCGGGUUUCGAGCAAAUAGGCGUUGGGCCAUAUUAGACACAGAACUUGCACACUGAACACUGAGAGCCAGCGAAUCCUUAACAGCUAACUCAUCAGACCGUUUGGAAAGUAGUCUGUUAUCUUUGGGAGUGAGAAGGUUCCUGGCCACCACCGCAGCAGUCAUAUCAUUCUUCAUCACGGAAUCCCCAACGGUAAGAGGACCAGUAGGGGAGACGAAGGAUGGGCGCCAUAUGUUGUCUGGAGAAGGCGGGGCUGCCUCUUCAACAAGGUUCAAGUCAAAACGACGGUCGGAGGGGCCAGACAUUUUCAAAGGUGUUGAAGAGAGAAGAGGUUGGACAAAUCAAGAUCUUAGAAGUGCAAGAAUGGAGCUUCUACUGGUGGAGAUUCAAGUGUGCUUUGGAACUUAAUGCCAGCCCCUAUAAAAAUCUGCACUCGACGGAUCUUCAGAAAUCGAAGAGGCGCCUGCUCAGAAAUCGAAGAGGCGUUUGCUUUCUCAAAAGCUGGGCUGCUUAGAGACCACGAGGGUUGAUCUCAGAAAUCGAAGAGGCGUUUGCUUUCUCAAAAGUUAGGCUGCUCAAAGACCACGAAGGCCGAUCUCAGAAAUCGAAGAGGCGCUCGCUUUCUCAAAAGCUGGGCUCCUCAGAGACCACGAGGGCCGAUCUCAGAAAUCGAAGAGGCACCUACUUUUCCAGCCUUGUCAGCACCUGUCACACGCACACUCAGCUUUGCGGAAAUAAUGGGCAUUCUGUCGAAGACUUCUGAGGAAGUAGAAAACACAUGAAUCUUACUGUUCAAUCACCCACUUCCCACACGCAACACUAGCUCAUGGGUACCACAGAUAACUUUGCCAAAGUUCUCUGCCAAAAUUGAGCACGUAAAGCUUGCAGCUCCCACUACAUCGCUCUGACCAAGAAAGGUAAAAGAAUAGCAAAGAAACAGUACUAACAAAGUUUAGACCCAUAAAUUUUGAAGGUCUAGCUACCAUAUUAUUACCCACAAAGGGUAAAGGAACAGUACCACUGCUGGAUAAUUGGAAAGUCCCUGUGUGUCAACCUCUGUGCUUCGUGGCAAGGUAGACUAGUAAACAUGCCCAACCUUUACUCACACUCGAGAAAACACUACCAAUAAGAUUGCUUGCUCCCAAAAUCGAAGAGGCACCGUCCUCCGAAUCUCGAGAGCCAGACUCCUAACAUGACUACUUUCUCAAAAAUCGAAGAGAGGGUAAAGGAACAGUACCAUUGCUGGAUAAUUGGAAAAUCCCUGUGUGUCAACCUCUGUGCUUCGUGGCAAGGUAGACUAGCAAACAUGCCCAACCUUUACUCACAUUCGAGAAAACACUCCCAACAAGAUUGCUUGCUCCAAAAUCGAAGAGGCACCGCCCUCCCGAAUCUCGAGAGCCAGACUCCCAACAUGAUUACUUUCUCAAAAAUCGAAGUGACACUGCUCCCCGAAUCUCGAGAGCCAGACCCCCAUCAUGAUUGCUUUCUUAAAAAUCGAAGAUGCAUCGUUCUCCGAAUCAAUCGAAGAGACGCUCGCUUUCUCAAAAGCUGGGCUGCUCAGAGACCACGAGGGCCGAUCUCAGAAAUCGAAGAGGCACCUACUUUUCUAGCCUUGUCAGCACCUGUCACACGCACACUCAGCUUUGCGGAAAUUAUGGGUAUUUCUGUCGAAGACUUCUCGAGAGCACAAACCACUUUUUCAAAGUGCUCUGACAGAGUUAAAACAUGUGAAGCUGGCAGCUCCCACUACCGUGCUAUGACCAAGCAGGGUAAAGGAAUAGCAUUACUACUUGUUGUUAGGGAGACUCCUAUAUAUGUCGACCUCCAUCCCCAACGGACAGGCAGACCUGCAAAAAUGUUCAACCCUUCCUCAUAUUUGAGAGGGCACUCCCAACGAAGCCUUUCGAAAUAUUCAGCUUUCUUUCCCCCCGAUAAUACCUUUGCAAACAAGCUAUACUAGAGCAAGAAUAUCUCAUAUCAUCAGGGUUAAAAGCAAGAGUAUCCCAUAUCAUGCUUUUUCCCUGUCUUUUCCUUUGGCCUUGUUGUUACCUGCAAGACAAGGAGAAAGAGAGCAAUCAGUCAGCACUUGGAAUCAAGCUUCCAGCCAGGAACUGACUGCCUGGAACCCCUUACCUGAUUACUUACCUGGCAUUGCUCUCGAGUACUCAUCUUCAACAUCUUAUGUUUCCAGGGAAGAUACCGCAUCUGCUUGAGGAACAGAUAGGGCAAGUGCGAAGGAUACAAGGAAGCAUGUGGAGACAAGCGUAACAGCACACGUGCCGAUACAUCCAUUACUCUGUCAAAAGCAAAAGUAUCCCAUAUCAGCAGGGUCGAACGUACUCUAGAUUUGAUGGACUUGUUUUGACCCUCAAAUUCUUCAGUCGGCUCUGGAGGAAAACCAGAAAACCCUCCAGCUCAGUUCAAGAAUAAGCCUGUGGAAAGUUACUUCUUCAAAAGCAAAAGUAUCCCAUAUCAUCUCUUCUCAUCUUUCUUCUCUUUAUCCUUCAUGCUGCUGCAAGAUGGGGAGAAGGUGAACAAUCAGCCGGAGCUCUGAUUGCUUACCUUGUCUGUCACCUCUUUCAGCAGAUCCCCUAGCUCGGCGACUUGGGAGACUCCUACUACAUGGUUUGUAUUGCGCUUGACCAAGCCUGAAACUACAAGUAAGCUUCAAGUGAAAUUGAUACAUUACCUUGUGCAUCUCCACCAGUUAAAGAUACCACCCCUGGAUGGAGGAAGAGUACUUCCAGAGAAGAUGCCACAUCUACCUAUGAGACAGAUAAGGCAAGUCAAGACGAUACCACACUCCGAUACUUAGAAGUUUCGUGAUUACGAGAUCAUUCUCUCACAAUAUUUCCUAAUGUCAUUUGUACUAAAUCAUUCACUUGUACUCACUAAAGGAGAGCUUGAACCUAUGUACUUGUGUAAACCCUUCACAAUUAAUGAGAACUCUUCUAUUCCGUGGACGUAGCCAAUCUGGGUGAACCACGUACAUCUUGUGUUUGCUUUCCUAUCUCUAUUCAUUUAUAUACUUAUCCACACUAAUGACCGGAGCAAUCUAGCGAAGAUCACAAAAAGCGACCGUUUUUGCUGCCUAGGAUCUAUCUUGCAAGAGAACGGAGAAUUAGAUGGAGAUCUCAACCAUAGAAUACGACCUGGACGGAUGAAGUGUAAGAGUGCAUCCGGCGUGUUAUGUGACCGUCGUAGGCCACUGAAGCUCAAGGGAAAAUUUUAUAGGACGACAAUAAGGCCAACGAUGUUGUAUGGCACAGAAUGUUGGACGGUGAAGCAUCAACACACGUACACAAAAUGGGUGUAGCGGAGAUGAGGAUGCUUCGUGGGAUGUGUGGGCACACGAGAAAGGAUAAGAUUGGGCAUGAGGAUAUCCGAGGUAAAGUAGGAGUAGCCGAAAUUGAAGGAAAGAUGAGAGAAAAUCGGUUCCGGUGAUUUGGACAUGGGCAAAGAAGGCCGACUGACGCUCCGGUUCGAAGAUGUGACUACGGGACAGAGGUUCAGGGCCGAAGGGGUAGAGGAAGACCUAGGAAAACUUUAGAAGAGAUUCUAAGAAAAGACUUAGAGUACUUGGAUCGAACGGAGGACAUGACACAAAACCGAGCGCAAUGGCGUUCUAGGAUUCAUAUAGCCGACCCCACUUAGUGGGAAAAGGCUUUGUUGUUGUUGUUGUUGUUGUUCAUGAAUUUGGUUAAUACAAUACUCAUCUGAACCCUGAUAAUGCUUAAACAUUUUCUCAUCUUUUGAAAAACAGUUUAAGUUGCCCACUGCAUAGUUUGUAGGGUGAUUGAGCCAAGAAAAAAUAAGGAGUUUUCCGACUGUCAAACCCCUAUUUUGGCUAGUAAGGGGAAAAUACUGGAGCAUCAAAGUUGGAGUCCAGAUCUGUUUGGGGUUCUUACUUAAAAUUGAAUCCUUUCUUUUCGUCUAAACUAUAUUUAUUUUGUCUAACGGCAUUGCAGAUUUCGAUUGUGCUCAUAAUUAUUGUUACUCAUGUUUGAUAGUUAAUUAUAUGGGAUCUUGUCAAAUUGUAGUUGGGAAUUCUUAGAACUUGGUAGUAGAAGUAAAAACUUGUGGGAUAGGUCAGAGGGACUUGACUUUACUUUCAUGUUGGUACCAAUGGAGGAUGGCCAUGGAGGUCUAGCAAAUGUAUUUGUAAAGGUUAUUAUUGAGUAAAGACUUGGUAUUGUUGGUCAACAGAAAAUCAAAAUUUGGUUUUGAAUUUCUUUUAGAAUUAGAUUCAUUAGAAUGAGUUUAUUGUGGGGCUGUUUUGCUGUUUCGAACAGUACUGAAAGGGAGAAGGUGAGUAUUUUAAUAGAUUUAAGGGUUAAAAACAGAUAUUGUAAUGAGAUUUGGGAAAUUUUAAGUAACCAUUAUGCAUCCUACCAACCAGUAAAUUUCAAAAAAUAGUAUAUCUGUAAUUAGUUUGAGACAUGGGAUCAAACAGUGUGCCUUUGUUACGUGCAUGAGCUUAAAACUCAACUAUCGUGUUAAAAUUUACACAUACUCCACUAAACCUCAAAUUCAAAAGGGAAGGCCUUUUAUUUGUAUUUCUCCUCAUUGGUGCAUUUUGUGAAUCUGAGGAGGAGAGUGUGGAUCAUGCUUUCUUCGUUGCUCUUGUUCUGCACAGUAAUGGUGGAAAUUGUUUCAGGGAGUUAUAGCUAGUAGGGUUGUCAACAUUGUUGUUUUGAGAUUCUAAGUAGCAAGUUUGAUGCUUUAGGAAGGAAGGAAGAAAGAAAGCUAAAGUUUUGGUGGGGUUGUUGGUGGUGGCAGUUUUUUGGAAUAUGUGGGUGGAGCGCGGUAGGAGAAUUUUUAGGAUUACAAGGGUGUGGGAGUAGAUGAAUUAUGGGACCUAGUUUACUGGGCAUCCCUGCUCUUUUGCCAUCAGUUUCAGAUGAAUUUAGUAAUUAUUCUAUAAUGAUGGAUGUGUUAGCAGCUGUGAAAUGAAUUCAGGUUUCAAGUUUUUAGCUUUUUGUAUCUGAACUCUAUUUUGAGAGGUCUGGUUUUGUACUAUAGGCUCGAUUUUUGGAUUGUAGGUAGUGUACCUAAACUUUGGAAUUGUUUCUGUUUUUAAUCAAAGUCGGUUUUCUUCAAAACAAAACCCAUUUGUUUCAUGCAAUAGUGAUCGCUUCUGGAUCCCAAUCUGCAUUGUUGUUUAAUGAUCUGAACUACCUAUAUUAUGUCUCAAUCAUGGAUCAUCUCUGAAAGACAUCAAUCGAAUCCUUCCAUUGUUUUAGACAUUGGAUUUUCACAGAGAACUGUUUGUAUAUAAUCUGACUUGAGGUUUUUAUUGCUGGCAGAAAUUGUCUGAACUCCUGAGUCUUUCUGCUGAACUUUUGUUAUGGAAGACAUCUACUAAUGCUGAGCGUGCUUUGGAACUUAUUGCUGAAGGUUUGGUAAUAAGCCCUAGCUCAGAAAAAUUACUUGAAAUGAAAGCAGAGGCUCUUUUUGCGGUUAGUAAUUUGUGUAAUUAUUUUCUGUAAUUGCUUUUGUGCUACUGUGAAUUUUGAUUGGGUGGAUUAAAACUCUUUAAGCAUUCACCAGAAACCCAGAAUGAUUUUCAGUCCGUUGUGGGUUGACUUAUAUGUUCCCUAACAGUUGCGGAGGUAUGAAGAGGUGAUUGAGCUGUGUGAACACACCUUUAGUUCUGCUGAAAAGAAUAACCUUUCCAUAGAGACCAAUGACCAGGCUGCUUGUUCGGAUGGUUCCGAAUUCUCAAAAUACUUUUACUUCAGACUCUGGCGGUGCCAUAUGAUUGUUAAAUCCUAUUUUUAUCUUGGAAAACUAGAAGAGGGUCUUGCGUCACUAGAGAAACAUGAGGAAAAGGUGUCUACCAAAUAUAGGUAACUUUUAGACCCGAUUUUAGAUGUUAAAUUAUGUUAAAAGUUUUGCUUUUGUUGCUUGAAGUUCCUUACACUAUUUAGAAUAUCCAGGAAUUGGAGAGAAACAGUGCAAUCAUCAGAACCCUUGUUCUCAUUGUACGUGAACUUCUGUCUCAUAAGUUAUGCUCAAUCUGUGCUGGGUUUCUUGACAAAGAUGUUUCCACAGAUAGUACAAUCCUCUUUAGGUGUACAUGUAAUGUAAUAUCACAGUUGAGUAGAAAUAUUUGAACUCAUCCCUCAUCUAUCUAUAUUAUUAAGAGAACACACCUUGUACCAGAUUAAAGAAAGCUUGGCAGGAUCCUCUUUAGCUGUCUUGCCACAUAACAUGUAAUUACAAAUAGAGAGAUGAAGUAUGUUGCAAAAGUAGAUAUGACUCUCUUAACCAUAUCAUGUUUCCUCAUAUAGACAGAGUGCUGUUCUUAUUUAAAAGGUCAUUUCUCAGACCUCAUUGGUUAUUCUGGUGGAACUUUCUCAUAUGUUUAGCACUUGCUAUGAUGUCUGCCUAAAGGUGUUUUUCUUGUCCUUGAGAUAUAUAGUAGUUUCUAGUCAUUCGAUUGCAGAUAUAUUUAGACCAAUUGCUUAUCUCAAACAAUAUUUGCGUUUUAAGUGGUGUCAGGGUAAAAAGUUGUACUUUAGUUUAUGCUAGGCAAUCUUCAGUGUCUACUAGUUUGUUUUUCCAAUGUUUGAUGCAUUUAAUUUUGGGAAGUGUUAUUGGCACUCCACAAAGGUCAACCUUUACUCCUACCUUAUAAAAAAUGAGAAAUUGCACUUAUGAGGAUUUUUUGGAGUACCAAUAACAGCUCCCUCAAUUUAUUCAUCAAUAACAGCUCUACUGCAUAUACAUGCUAUUUAGUGAUUUUCCUUUGCUAUUGUUCAUCACAGGCUGCUGGGAAUGAGGCAUUUCAGGGUGGAAGACAUACUGAAGCUGUUGAGCAUUAUACUACUGCUUUGUCCUGCAAUGUUGAAUCACAUCUGUUUACAGCUGUUUGUUUCUGCAAUUGCGCUGCUGCAUACAAAGCAUUGGGCCAGAUUACUGAUGCUAUUGCUGAUUGCAGUCUACCUAUAGCUCUUGAUGGAAAUUAUCUAAAGGUUUGCUCAAAGCUGAAGUUUCCUAACGACCCUUUGAUAUGGCAUUGCUCAUGAUUUUACUUAUUGAUUAGUUUUUUCAUUGGUAAAAGGAGGGUCUGGUUUUAUUUCUGUUUGACUGAUAUCAGACAUACACUUAGUCAUUAAGGGGGUGUUUGAUUGACCAGACUAGGACUGGAUUGUAACUUUUAUACGUGGGCUUAUUUUAGGCCAACCUAAGCCAAACUAAUCCAAGCCAAUCCCUACAGUUAGUCCAAGACAAGCCAUCCAAUGUACCAAACUUUCUGUAAGUGUAUUAGCACCUCUAAUCAAUUUAUAUUUUCUUAGUGAUGCAGUCUUCCACCUAUUUUUAUGUGUUUGUUCUGUUUUUUCCCGUGGACAUGCAGUAAAUGGAUCCUCAUUAAUUUUCAGGGAAAUCUUAUAACAUUUCAUUAUUUUCUAUUUCAAUUUGCAAUGCAAAACAUCUAAAUUUCCAAGAAUAUCACGUUUUAAUUUCAGAUUCCUGUAUCCUUAAUCUCAAAUUUGUGGUCAAAUUUUGAUACAAGAGUUUUAGUUAAUCCUUGAGAAUUUAAGAUAUCUAUAUAGCUCCACUUGAAGAUCUUCUUAGGAAAAAAGAUUGAAAUGAAGAAAAUUUUCAAUCAGUACGGUUUUGACACCAUUUUGGACAUCCAUUAUAGAGUUUAAUUUCUAAUUAAUAAGUUCUCCCAUAUCUACUGGUCUGUGUAAACAUCAAUCUCUAAGUGUAGCUUCUCCAUUGUUACAUCUUUAUAGACUUCAGAAAUCUGGUGUGCGUUGCUCAGGUUUCCUCUUGUAUUGGGUUAGGUUAUACUUUAGUUUGAAUAUCAGUUUCCUAUCUCGAAUCAACAUUGGGUAGAUGUAUAGAACACACCCUAACAGUGCUUCACAGACAAUAUUUACCAAAUUCAAACUGGAUUUGACCACAGAAAUGCUCCUUGGUGAUUAAUGUUUUAUAAGGAUAUACAAUAGUUACGGGUGUUUAAUAUUUGAAGUCUAUGGGUUGUUUUUGUUGGGGAUGGAAGAAGGCUUUCACUAAUACAAUGGAGUUGUCAUUCCUAUAUAUAUAGUUGAUUUUCCGGUGGCAAAUUGCAUUCUAGAACACUUAUUUUCUUCGAUUGGGUCCUCUAGUAUGUUAUGUUGGUGUUCCCAUGCAGGCUAUUUCUAGACGAGCCACAUUAUUUGAGAUGAUCAGAGAUUAUGGACAAGCUGCUAAGGAUCUUCAGAGACUUGUAUCUAUUCUCACUAAGCAGGUAGAGGAAAAAACCAAUGUGUGGAACAUCUGACAGAUCCAUUAGCAGCACAAGUGACAUGAGACAAGCUCGUCUUCGUCUUUCUGAAAUAGAAGAAGACAGAAGGGACAUCCCCUUGGAUAUGUACCUUAUUCUGUGAGUUUAUCUGCCUAUAUUUGUUUCCGGCAUAUGGUUGCAAACUGGCCCCUCUUUCGGGCGUUUACAUGAUCACUGCUAGACUAUACAGUAAAAUCUUUUGUUGAGGUUGAGUAGUUAUACAUUCAUGUGGGUGCACUGAGUAAUUAACUGUAGCUGUUGAAGCUGAGGAAAGAAAUUGUUUAAAUUAUGGGUGCUUCAUUGACGUCCAUCUUGUUCACAUUAGUAAAGUAUUCCUCUGUUGUUUUAAUGGCCAAGCAUCAAAAACUUCUUCAGAGGGUAGUUUAAGCAAUUUUAAAAAAUGAAAAGUAAAAAAGCUGGCUUUACGGCGAAGUUCAUGGGAAAGCCUAUGCCAGAAGCAGGGAGAACACUGUCUAGAGACUUGAUCUCAAAUUUGUGACUGUCAUGAAAAGAUAGACCGAGAUUAUCAUGCUUAACAGUGAAGCUGCUUUCUGAUAAUUCCAUGAACUAAAAUAAAUAAUUAAUUAUUUACAACAAGCUCUUUGUUAAUGCUCCAUGCUCUGAAUGGUUGGAAGUAUGAAGAAUCCAUGCAAUCUGAGAAAUACUUGCAUGCCUUUUAUGAUUCUACCAGAAAGAAAUUUGUAGUUUUUAAGGCAGUUUAGUUCGGAGUAAAAUUGAUUGAAACUAUCACUUUUAAGUUUUUUCGGUUAUAAUGGUAGGGGAGUCGAACCAUCUGUUUCAGCAUCAGAAAUCAAGAAGGCCUAUCGGAAAGCUGACUGAGACAUCAUCCUGACAAGGUAUGUAAUAUUUUCUGAUUUGUUGCUUGCUAACUGCUAUUCACCGUUUAACAUGUUCUUUUAUAGGCUGGUCAGUUGUUUUCAAAGAGCGAUAAUGGUGAUGAUGGGCGUUGGAAGGAGAUAGCAGAAGAAGUGCACAAGGAUGCUGACAAGCUUUUUAAAAUGAUUGGGGAGGCAUAUGCGGUACUUUCAGACCCUACCAAGGUCUGAACACACCUUGGCAGUAGUUCUUUAUUUAUCGCUCAGAUAAACAAGUUUUUUGGCAGCACCUUAUCCAAAAAAAAAAAAAAAAAAGGAUUAGAACUUUUUGUUCUUGUUAUCAUCUUUCUUAAUUGAGUUAUCAGAGAUUUUUGUCCUCUUAGUCAUUGGUAUAGUAUGGUUUUGAAACUCAUUUUGCAGCGAUCAAGGUAUGACACCGAAGAAGAGAUGAGGAAUGCACAGAAGAAACGCGGUGGAAGCAGCACAUCUAGAAUGCCUGCAGAUGUUCAGAGUUUACCCAUUUGAAAGAAGUAGCAGUAGGCGACAGUGGAGAGGUUUGGAGAUCAUAUGGCAACUCAUCUUCUAGAGAUAUUGAUGAAAACAUUGCCUGAUUCGAACCUUGAUUCUUCAGAAGAGGUUUUGAACGGGACGAGGUCAGAAGAUGGAUGUGUCGAGUUGCUACAUCUGUGGCUUCCCUUCAAGGAUCAACCGGCGUGUGCAAUUGGAUUCUACCUCCACACUCAUCUUCAGAAAUCCCUUUAAUUUUACAAACUUGAGAGCAUGCUGUAACGCUAACGCCUCAACCACAAAAAAUGUAUAUUCUCCAAAAUUCCUAGCACCAACAAUAAUAGGACAACCAAGCUCAUUUUGAAUCACAAAAAAUUGCUGCACCAAAACUUCCAAAAACAUACCCAUUAAGUAUAAGUAGACACUUAUUUAUAUGGUAAAUAAUAAAUUAAAUUAAAUUAAACAAUUGUGGAGGCGCAUGCCCUCCUCGCAGCCCAUCUUCUGCCUAGCAAUAUUUAGAAUCAUGUUCCAAUCUUUUUUUAAAAUGAUAAAAUAGUUAUCAUCUACUUUAAGUAUACCUUAAAUCAAAUAUUAGAGAUCAAAUGGGGCUUAAAUUAUGUUAUGUAUGUUGGAAAAUAAAAACGAAAGUAUUUAGGAUUUCAUUUAAUUAGUGAUUUUAUAUAAUUUAAUUAGUUAGGAUUUGAUUUAAUCAGUGAUUUUAUAUGAUUUAAUUAGGGUUUUGAUAUGAUUUGGUCUAGGUUUCCUUGUCUGGUAGACAAAUGAUUGUUUUGAUUUAUUUCCUAGUAUUGCUCCUUUGUAAUCUUAUAAAUACCUCCUUAUGGAGAAGAAUAAAUUAUUGAAGUAGUAUUUGAGAAUUGUGUGAUUCUAAAGAAUAAAUCUACCCUAAACCCUUUAUUUUCAACUAUGUAAGGUGCCGUGUAUGCAUCUAAGCCUAAAUGAUGUCACUUCUACAAGUUAGAGUUUUAUAUGAUUUCACUGAAGGACUUGAUUGGUAGUAUCGUCUCCAACAAUGAGAAGAGAUUAAAAAGGGUAAUGUGAGGGAGAUCAAAAUUUUAAAUGAAAUGAUGUGUCACCAAUAAGAAAUAAGCACGUUAAUCAGCGCUUAAGUAAUAAUCUAAUUAUCAACCAUCACAUCAUUUGGUUUGCAAAUUUAAUCUCCCUAAUAUUAUCCGGUUAAAAAUAUGCAUUUUUGGUCAAACUAUUGUGCCUCAAUUUUAAUUUUAGGCGAAACGAUUUUGUUUAUGUCAAUUUUAUCAUUGUCUUUAAUAUUGUUAUCAAUUUGAAGACAUUUGAAAUUGCGGUGAUUAAGUUAGAUUGAAUUGAGACUGGAAAAACACAAUAAUUUUGUUUUCACAUGACUGAUUAAUAUUUAUUGCCAUACUAACCGGUUAGUACUAAAAAACUAUGGAUUAUAUAUACACACGCUAAGGUCAUAUGAACAUAUGAAACGAGUAUAAAUGAAGAUGCUUUAGCCCAAGACGUAUGAAAAAAGGUGUAUACCAGUCUAAUCUUGAAAAUAAGCCACCUUGAAUAAGAAUUUUCCAACACUUGUCGUUGUUCAGAUCACAAUCUAGUUUAAUUGUCAUUUUCUACGCGGAGUCUAGACUUUGAAAUAUGGAACCCCAGCAGUUUUGGAGUAUAAUGGAUCUCAACGACUUUUCAAGGAAAUUGGAAAUGCCGACGAUGGCUACAAGAGCGAUGCUGACUUGGUGCAUCUUUCUACAGUGAUCAAAUCUUUAAUACGCAACACAAUAAUAAAUUCCCUACAUAACCACCACAACAAAACACAAUAAUACUUAAAUAAGAACCAUGGGUGCGUAUCUGCCACAAUGAAAACUACUUUUGAGAAAUUAAGGACUCGUUUUGAAGUGUUUUAAAACUAAAUGAAAGUGUUUUUUUUUUUUUUUUUGAAAGCCCUACUAAAAAUUCAAGUAGAUCGUGAAAAAGUACUUUAAGUGUUUCAUGUAAGAAGUACAUAUUUUGUGAUUCUUCUGAAAAACACUUAAAUUGAUUUUAGACUUAAAUUGAUUUUAGACUUCAAAGUCAAUUUCAUUAUAAGCACUUUCAAUCAUUUUACAAACACUUCCAAAUGAGUCCUAAUUUAUUUCGCAUGAGGAAAAAAACUAUAUAUAUAUAUAUAUAUAUAUAUAUGUGUGUGUGUGACUUUGAUCUGUUCAACAAUUAGAAUUUAUAAAUCAAUGAUUCACGCAACGUGACAAGAAUUAUCCUCAUAGAGAGGCAGCGAAUAUUAGUGUAACAUUGAUAAAUUUAUGGGUUUUGUUUCAAAGACAUGGACCAAACUCUGAUGGACGUUAAACCACAUAGAUAGAUGGAUUGUGAAAAUUGACCACAAUUUUGUUUAUUUAUUUAGGUUAAUCAAUUUCACUUGAAUUGAAACACCUCUUCCUAACUACGCAUCUGGCAGUUUUCAUGAUGUUAUCAUAUUUUUUAUGCAACUGCUGGUAGUCAUUGUCAUCAGUGGUCCACGCAGUGAUUGACGGGAUAAUGGGUCGUCGCCUAAUUGAUAAUAGUUUGGGGGAAAACACUCUAUAUUACCAAGGCCUAUAUAUAUAAUCAAUAUAUGUUAGUUAAGUUAUAUAUUUCUCCAAUAGCUUCAUGCAUUUUUCCAACGUAUACAAAACUGGAAAAGCUCUCAUGGCUUCCAUAUUGCUACUACUUGUAGUCUUGAUGCCAGCCCUGCAAAUAACAGGUCUUGCUUACUUUCAUGCCUGUCUGUAGUUUGCAUUUUUAUUUAUGCCUUUUACAAUAUGAUUACUGUUUUCUAGCUUAAUUGAUUGGACUGACGUGAGUAAUUUUCUCCAACAAUUGUUUCGAUACUAUAUUUACAUGUUUUAGUUAAGAGUCCGCUUGAUAUUCAUUUGGUUAUUGAUAUUAAUUAUUUUUUUUUUGUGCUUGAGGAAAGUAUAAAGAAGAAAGGAAGGGUGAAGUGAAAUCAACUCGAAAUAACUUUUGGUUUUCUUUUUGUAUGCCCUUAUAAUUAAUCAAAAUUGUUUUCUAAUAUUGGUUAGAACGAAAAUUCUAAAUUUUUAUAUUUAUGAAUCUCUACAAGAUAAUUGAUGAAUGUCAAUAUAUAAAUUCUUAUCUAAAUUUGAAGUUUAUUUCUCUCUUUCAAAUUGAACAUUAUUUUACAUCUCUCCCUUAUACCAACCUUCAACCACUCCUUCAUUCCUCAUUUUCACCAUAUACGCUCCUCAUAACUCAAGCAUGAAAAAUAAAAACUAGAUAAUUUUAUUUUUACAAAUAACUGAAAAUCCAUGCAGCAAAAGAAAAGAGCCUCGUUUGGCUCUCUUCUGUUACUCUUUUCUAUGGUGUUGAUCCAAUUGUCAAAUAUCCUAUUUUGAUGAAAUUGUAGCUAUGGAGUAUUUAACUAGAAGUUUCAUCCUUUCAAACAUUUCUUACGGGAAAUUCUACUUUUUUCUCUCCCACAACCCAAAACUCACCACAUUUUGUAUCGAAUCAUCUACUUAUUUCAGGUGCACAAUCUGUUGGUGUUUGUUAUGGACGAAACGGCAACAAUUUACCAGCUGAAGGAGAAGUGGUCGACUUGUACAAAAGCAAUGGCAUCGGGCGGAUGAGGAUCUAUGAACCAAAUGAAGCAACCUUGCAAGCCCUAAGAGGUUCCAACAUAGAACUCACUGUCACCAUCCUCAACAACGAGCUUCAAGCCCUCAAUGAUGCUGCAGCUGCAACUGCCUGGGUCCAGAAGAACGUACAACCCUAUUCAGCUGAUGUUAAAUUCAAAUACAUCGCUGUUGGAAACGAAGUGCACCCCGAUGCUGCAGAGGUCGGGUUUCUCCUGCCUGCCAUCCAAAACAUCCACAGUGCAAUUGUAGCAGCCAAUCUGCAAGGCCAAAUCAAAGUCUCUACAGCAAUUGACACAACUCUUGUGACCAAUGCCUACCCUCCCUCCGAUGGAGUAUACACUGACCCUGCAAACCAAUUCAUAAAACCAGUCAUCGACUUCCUCGUCAGCAAUGGGGCCCCACUCCUUGUGAAUGUGUACCCUUACUUCAGCUACAAUGACAACCCUGGUAGCAUAGACCUUGCCUAUGCCUUGUUCACUUCACAAGGGGUUGUAGUGCCGGACGGGACUCGAUACCCUAGCCUCUUUGACGCUCUUCUGGACGCUCAGUACGCAGCUCUUGAAAAAGCUGGUGCACCAAAUGUGGAGAUAGUCGUAUCGGAGAGUGGUUGGCCUUCUGAAGGUGGAAAUCAAGCAACCCCUCAGAACGCAGCCACAUUCUACCAGAAUUUGAUCAAGCAUGUGACGAGUACUACUGGGACUCCAAAGAGGCCUGGUAAAGCUAUAGAGACUUAUCUUUUUGCUAUGUUUGAUGAGAACCUCAAGGAAGGUAAUGCAGAUGAGAAACACUUUGGAAUUUUCUCCCCUGACAAACAACCCAAGUACCAACUCACAUUUGGAUAGGAGGAGUCACAGAAUCAUGUCUGAUGUAAACUUUAGUUGAAUAAGGGUGCCUUGUGCCCAGGUCUCUCACCCCAUAAAUAUGAGAUACAAUAAAAAGAAUACACAUGGUUAUCAUGAAUUCGGAUGUUGAUGAAGUUGUUCUUGAUGAUAUUAUUGUUGGAAUUUGAUAGUUAUUUUGUUGAUUUCUGGAAUUUCUCAAUUUGGUUACGAGUUUGAAGGAAGAAGAAGAUAAGAUCAGAGAGAGAAGAAUGUAUUCUGUAUUUGUGAUCAUUAAAACCAAAUUGAAAAAGAUAGAAAUUUUUAGCUGUUGGAGAAAAAACAGAGAUAUAACAAGAAAAACAAAAAAAGAAGAAAUGUACUUGUUUAAUUUCUGCUCAAAAACAAUAAAACAACACCACCUAACAUGUGCCUGUAAAAAUAACCCGAUCAAAUGAAAAAAAAAAAAAAAGGUACUUUCUUCAUCAUAUAAUAACAAUAGAAAAAAAGAGUGUAUAGGGGAUGGUGGGUGGCGACGAUUUUGGAG